AAAAAAAGUGACUUGUGACUAUCUACCUUGAUGCAGUAAAUCUCAAGGUACAGGAAACUUGAUUAUUAAAUGUUAAAUUAAUUGCAAUCGUACAACUUCCAAGCUAAUAUAUGGCUUUGCAUUUACAUUUUACAAAGGUAAGAAAUCAUUCUAAAGUUGUUGAUAUAUACUACAAAAGAGAAAAAAGAAAAGGCCUUAAAUGCAAAAGGUUCACUCACACCUAGGCGACGAAACAUACAUAGUUACACCAAUUGCAUAGAGAAACUUGUCUUAAUUUCAUUUGUUAACCAAUGUAUCAUACGUUUCACAGUCUGAUUCGCACACUGUAUCUCACUGACGCUACACUAACAAUGGCACUCGUCUCCAAAUAA